UUUCAACCCUUGAAAUAAAGUCCAAAAUUAAAAUACAAAAGGGAAAACUCAUUUUUGUUCACGCUCCACACUCAGAAACCGCUCACACAAUCAGAAAAUUCUCUCAAAAUCGAUCUGAGCUCAUCUCAGAAAACUCAAAGUUCGGAGCUCAUCUCAUCUCAUCUCCGACGGGCUGAUUUGCGGUGGUCAGCUGUCUCAUCUCCGACGACAAGCGAGCCGUUGAUAGACUUAGCACUCUUUGCCACCCCAUUUCCGAUUACAGAUUAUUUAUGGCAGAUAAUGAAGAUCAAUCUCAAAUAGAAAAUCCCAUCAGGAAGGUCAAGGAUUUAGCUGAGGAACAAAAUGAGCAUAAUCUCUACGCAUUCACUCCCAAAGGAAAGUGAGGAAGAUAAUGCCUCUCAAAAUAUCAUAUAUGCUCGUGAUGGUUUUCUUAGCUGAUCCAAAUGAUAUCUUCUUGACAGAUGGAGCAAUCCCAGCUGUGCAUAUGAUGAUGCAAUUACUGAUAAGAUCAGAAAAUGAUGGAAUUCUUUGUCCCAUUCCUCAGUACCCUUCAUACCCUUCUUCAAUUGAUCUCCACUGUGGCACACUGGUUCCUUACUAUCUCAAUGAAGCAACAGGAUGGGGAUUGGAAGUCUCUUCACUUAAGAAGCAAUUGGAGGCUGCCAAGUCCCAAGGCAUCAUAGUUAGGGCUUUGGUUGUUAUAAAUCCCAGAAACCCAACAGGCCAGGUUCUUGGUGAGGAGAAUUAGCGUGACAUUGUGGAAUUCUGUGGGAAAGAAGGUCUUGUGCUACUGGCAGAUGAGAUCGACAAGACUAUUCUGGUGCUCAUACAUAUGAAAGGAUUGAUGUGGAGGGAUCUUUCCAUACUGAACGGUUCAAGCUUGCCAACCACUUGAAUGAAACUCAAAAUAAUCCUAAUAAAUUUCUGCCCAGGACUCUGCCGGGCAGAGCUGACACCACCUCUACCUGUUAAAAUGUAUCUCAAUUAUUCUGUUUAAUUGCUUGAAGUUUGUUUAUGUUGUUUGUCAUUGUGUUUUGGCAGAUUCUGCUACUUCUCUUUAUAUUUGUUCUUGUUUUUUUCAGGGAGGUUGGGUUUCAAGACUGAAAUGGAAGCGGACAGAGGAAUUCAUUAGUACCAAAGAAAACCUUAGUAAAUCUUGGUUGUGUAUAAACUGCACAAUUUAUAAUCAUAUUAAUUUAGGAGACAUUAUUUGUAUAGUCAAUGGAAAAGAGUAGGCAUCGACAUUAUUUGCCUCAAGCACAUGGGAUGAAGUACCGUUUAGUUCUUCAUGAUGUUCUGAAAUUUGAAAGAGUCUGUUAAUAAGUAAAAACUAA